rnacentral:rRNA from 1 species
AUUGAACGCUGGCGGCAGGCCUAACACAUGCAAGUCGAGCGGAUGAAGGGAGCUUGCUCCUGGAUUCCGCGGCGGACGGGUGAGUAAUGCCUAGGAAUCUGCCUGGUAGUGGGGGAUAACGUCCGGAAACGGGCGCUAAUACCGCAUACGUCCUGAGGGAGAAAGUGGGGGAUCUUCGGACCUCACGCUAUCAGAUGAGCCUAGGUCGGAUUAGCUAGCUGGUUGGUUAAGUGCUUACAAAGGCGGGCAUCCGUAGCUGGUCUGACUGGAUGAUCGGCGACAUUGGAGCGGAGCCAGGGUCCAGGGGACUACGGGAGGGAGCAGUCGGGAAUGUUGGGCAAUGGGCGAGAGCCUGACCCAGCCAUGCCGCGUGUGAGAAGGAGGCCUUGGGAGCGGAAAGCACUCUUAGUUGGGAGGAAGCGCAGUAGGCUGAGACCUUGCGGUAUUGACGGUAACAACAAAAUAAGCACCGGCUAACUACGUG